AUGCUGAACAAGGUGGCUGCAGAGGAACCACGCUCUCCUGUCUCUCCCCCACUUGAGUCUGAUAUCAUCCCAGAGCAAUUCUGCAGCAGUGUAGAGCUCUGUCUCUAUGGUGCACUGUGAUUGCUCAAAUAUCUGCCCUGCUGCCGUCACCCCGAGGGCGGGUGGAGCUGCUGUCCAUUUUCUUCUAGCAUGUGCUGUCUGGAUGGUGUCCACUGCCUUCCUUGUGGUUAUAAGUGUGACCGCAUACACACUAAGUGUCUAAGACUGAUGGCCCGAGGUACCCCUUUAUUCCGAGGCAGGCCCACUUCCUUCCUAUGAUCAAACUCACCAAGAUAUCCAAGGUCAACGACCAGCAGGUCCCAUGGACACUACUUGGUUGCCGUUGACAGCAGCCAACAUGGCUGGGUUAUUCACUUCCACAGGAAAUCAACUGACCUCCAGCUACAGUAACCCGUUGUGGCAGGGGAAACACUGGAAAAUACUGUUGUCUACAGCUAUCUAAGCCAAACUAACAAUAUUGUAUUUUGAAUUACAUUUUGCCUAACUACUGAGAUUGGGAUUGUACACUUUUUGUGAAUGCAUUAUAUGUACAUGAAUGGGGAAUCAUGACACCCACUCAUUGUUGAUUUCAUAAAACAGACAGGUCAAUAAAAUAAAUGAUAAUU